GAUGAACGCUGGCGGCGUGCCUAAUACAUGCCAGUCGAGCGAACAGACGAGGAGCUUGCUCCUCUGACGUUAGCGGCGGACGGGUGAGUAACACGUGGAUAACCUACCUAUAAGACUGGGAUAACUUCGGGAAACCGGAGCUAAUACCGGAUAAUAUAUUGAACCGCAUGGUUCAAUAGUGAAAGACGGUUUUGCUGUCACUUAUAGAUGGAUCCGCGCCGCAUUAGCUAGUUGGUAAGGUAACGGCUUACCAAGGCGACGAUGCGUAGCCGACCUGAGAGGGGGAGCGGCACCACUGGGGAAGAGAGACGCGCCCGACACCCACGGGAGGCACAGGUGGGGGAACUUCCGCACAGUGGGCGAGCCUGUGGGGGCAAAGCGGCGGGAGUGUGAAAAGGCUUCGCGGCUCAAAACUCUCUUAUAUGAGGAAAGCAAAAGUGUAAAUAUCUCUACGCGCCUGGAGGGGACCUAUAAAGAAAACCCCGCGUAACUCCGC
rnacentral:rRNA from 1 species